GUCAGGAAAAUUUGCGUUACAAUCUUUUUCCGUAUAUUCAAAAUUAGCGCUUAAACAAAUAAAGUUGGAAAUAAUUUUUCACUUUCUAUUAACGUUUUAGAUAUUAGUUAAUAUGUUUUUAUGUUUGUUGUUUUAUUUUUUAGUUCUUUAUGAAUAAUAUUAAUUAAUAAAUUGGUAUUAGUCAAAACCCCGUUUAUAAAAUAACGCCGGUCAGGGGAAGUAAUUGUUGCGGGUCUAUGAUUAUCGUUCGUGCAAAUGGUGGCGCUGUUUGGAAAAAUUUGAAAACAACACGAUUGGCAAUUUAUUUGGAUUUCGAAGAUCCUGGUCCUGGCUGAAAUUUAGAGUACUGCAGCUGUAGCCUGUAUACCAUACAUUCGCUGUAACCUGUACACCAUACAUUCGCUGUAGCCUGUAUACCAUACAUUCAACAUGAAAAGGACUGUCAGGAUGCUGCAUAAAAUGGUCUAAGCUAGAGCCUAGAAUGUUAAUUUCUUGGGAAUAUGCUGCAAGGAACUGACGGGGUGCAGUUUUUCUUACCAAUCAUAGAAGCAGUUAGAGACAGCCAAAGAAGUACUCAAACACUUGACAUACCCAGAAAGAUCAAGAAGAAAAGAUUGGAACAGAUUGAAGCUGAAUUGAUAAAACUAUUUAAGUGAAUUUAAGCUGCACUUGAACUGUAUUUUUGAAAUAAAAUAUCUGAAGUAUUUAAUAUUUUCUUGAUAUUUUGUUAAACUUGGUUACUUUGCUUUAUAUCCAAAAAUUAAAGUAUGGUGGGUUUUCAACGUUGAAAUGACAUUGAAAUUUCAACGUUGUUUCAACUUUCAAAUCCGAAUAUAAAUCCAACCUUAUUUCAACGUUGAAAUCUGACCAAAAUUCAACGUU